CAACUUCCUAUCAGUCAAGGGAAAAUCCAUCAUCUGUGCUGCAUUUUCGUAUGCUGAAGAGUUCAUCAUAACCAAGAGAACGCCCUCACGUUGAAGCUUCUCAACUAACAGUUUCCUUUGGAACUGGACAAGGUGAAAGAGCAUGAAGAGGAAUACAUCUAAUACAAAUUACACAAUAGGCUGUACUAAAAAUAAAGCCUGAAGCUACAUAUUUUUGACCCCUAAAAAUUAAUCAGCUAACCAACAACUCACGGAACAAACCAGGGAUACCUUAUUUUACCUUCAGAAAAAGGAAAAUUAAGAAAGGUUCUCCUGCCUAUACUGCAGAAAAUACUUUGUGAUUAUGGCUAACUUUGUAAGUGAGGAUUAUAUUCAUGAUGUAAAUGCAGAGAAUUCCAACAUUUCCUUACUUUGAAGCAGUAUCUUUUCAGACUACCUGGACUGGAUGAGAUACUCAAAGCACACACGUACUGCUGACAAAAGAAUACUCUUUACAGUGCUUCCUGCAAGUUUUAUUUUCCAGAUAAAGGGAGACUAACAGUGCCCUGCUGAUGAAGCAUUCUUUUGCUUUUUGCAUUAGGUUGCGAGUGUAGCUAAAAAUAAGAGCAUUUAUUAAAAAAAAAGAAGUUUAAGCAGGUCUUCAGAAUUCAUUAUCUACUGCUCCAAGCAAGAAGUGCCCUUCCUAAUGCACUUGGCUGUGAGCCCAAAAAGAAAUAAACAGAAAACACAUUUCCCAACACAGUUCUGAGCAUGUCUGGUCACGUUAAGGAAUGAAUUCUCCCCUCCCAAACACUAACCAGCAGUUGGAGCCAAAAUGCCCUCCCCUCCGGCUGUGCUGUGAGGUACCAUAUGUGCAAGUCCUUCCUAUGGUGCUGAUACCAUUCUGGCUCAUUCUUGCACUUAGAAUAUUCUGCUCAAAGUUUCUCUCCCAG
rnacentral:lncRNA from 1 species